rnacentral:rRNA from 1 species
CUUACGGGGGGCAGCAGUGAGGAAUAUUGGUCAAUGGCCGUAAGGCUGAACCAGCCAAGUCGCGUGAAGGAAGAAGGAUCUAUGGUUUGUAAACUUCUUUUAUAGGGGAAUAAAGGUAUCCACGUGUGGAUAUUUGCAUGUACCCUAUGAAUAAGCAUCGGCUAACUCCGUGCCAGCAGCCGCGGUAAUACGUAGGAGGCGAGCGUUAUCCGGAAUGACUGGGCGUAAAGGGUGCGUAGGUGGUUUGGCAAGUUAGUAGCGUAACUCCAAGGCUCAACCUUGGAACUACUACUAAAACUGUUGGACUUGAGUGCAGGAGGGGCAACCGGAAUUCCUAGUGUAGCGGUGGAAUGCGUAGAUAUUAGGAGGAACACCAGUGGCGAAGGCGGGUUGCUAGACUGUAACUGACACUGAGGCACGAAAGCGUGGGGAGCAAACAGGAUUAGAUACCCGUGUAGUC